AUCACCCAGGAAUCUUGUUAAUACACAGAUUCUGACUUAGUAGGUGUGGGUUGGGCCUGGGAUUCUGCAUUUCUAAUAAGCUCCCAGGUGAUACAAA
rnacentral:pre_miRNA from 1 species